rnacentral:rRNA from 1 species
AAAUUGAAGAGUUUGAUCAUGGCUCAGAUUGAACGCUGGCGGCAGGCCUAACACAUGCAAGUCGAACGGUAACAGGAAGCAGCUUGCUGCUUYGCUGACGAGUGGCGGACGGGUGAGUAAUGUCUGGGAARCUGCCUGAUGGAGGGGGAUAACUACUGGAAACGGUGGCUAAUACCGCAUAACGUCGCAAGACCAAAGAGGGGGACCUUCGGGCCUCUUGCCAUCAGAUGUGCCCAGAUGGGAUUAGCUUGUUGGUGAGGUAACGGCUCACCAAGGCGACGAUCCCUAGCUGGUCUGAGAGGAUGACCAGCCACACUGGAACUGAGACACGGUCCAGACU